UGCCUCAGGACUUGCUGCCCAACCCAGCCUCAGUCAAGACUCCAAAACCAGUUUCUUCGUGCCUUCUGCUCUGCAGGCUCCCCUCCUGAGUCCAGCCAGACUUCGGUGGGCCCUGUCUGCAAGAACUGGAACUUAUAUUACCUCAGCUCAGCAUUGAGAAGAAAUCACAAGAAAACAGAUCUGCAUUAAGGAAAACAGAUGGGAAAACAGCAACGAAAACCAAAUUUCAGUACAAUAUUUUAUACCAACUACAGCUGUAGUGUUCUAUGGUCAUCAAAGCCAAUAAUCUAAAAGUGUUUUCCAGGGUAAGUGUUCAUAUUUUCCUAUGGAAGGAAUGAUGGAAUGAAUGGUGGAUUGGACAAGAAGCCCCAGCUUCUCACAGAUUGAAGAGAUUGCCGGCAUAGGGUGCUAACAUCGAAGGAUCCAACUGCAGUCUCCUCCACCCUCCACACUUGAUUUUGGCAGAAGAAGAUGGCCAUUUUGCUAGGGGAGCACUAAAAGUGUGGAAGGAUUUGCGUCCCCGGGUGUAGCCCCAGUGAGAGAAGGAAACUAUUUGAUGUCCAGUGUCUGCUCAGCCUGGUGUUCCUAGAAGGUCUGCCCCAGCACCCGAGGGCUCUCGAAGUUCUUUCCUUGGCUGGAGUCUUGAGCUCACUGGCUUUAAGGAUUACAAAGCCCAGGGCUCUCCCAGCAAGGUGCUCUUUCUAUUCACUGCCAAAUGAUCGACCAGCCGUAGCAACAGCUCUGGAUGUGCAUCUCUAUGUGUGUGUGUGAGAGAGAACAUAUGGGUCUCACAUGAGAAGGAUUUGCAAAAGCUGUGAUAUUUUAACCGGAACCUGGCUAUGUGAUGAGGACUAGGGAAUGGCAUGCACAUGGAGGCAGGAUUGUACAGAUUUAGGUUCAGGGAGUAGCCUAGUUUGGCUAGAGCUUCACACUGGAGAAGAGAGGAAAUUUUAAAUGCGAGAGUGUAGUCACAUUAGAGAUAACUCAGAAGCCAGGUCUGAGGCUCUGAAUCCCAAGGAAGAGACGACGGAGCAUGAUGGCAGGUAGGUCUAGACUAAGGAUGGCAAAGAGGUUUCGACUCCUGUCCCAGAUCUUUAACCUCCCUAUGUGAUGGUUUAGUUACCAAGUGGGGUAUGGCAUUUUCCUUAUAAAAUCAUUGUGAAGGUUAAAUUACACAAUGUACGUAAAAUUACUUUUUGUGAAAUGAAUGGUAAACAAACCUGGCCAAUGAUUGGUUCUAGUUUCCCAAAGGGUAAGAGGAUAGGUUUUACUAACUGCAGAGCAAUCAACACAAUGGGGGUCUUGGAUGAUAUUCUAGGUCAAGCUAUUAGGAACUUGGUUUAUGAGCAUAAGAUAAAGAAUCUCCCUCAGAAGCCAGCAGUGGUUCCCUGGGAACUCUUUCUGGAAGCACAACUUCAUUUGCUUUGUUAAGAGGGUUGCCUGAGACACCGGAAAAAGCAACAGAAGCAGCAUGUCUGAAUUCCAGUGAGACAGGUUGCAAGAUUCUUCCUCAUAACAGGCUGAGGAACAAGACAGAAGAGUAUAAGCAGGACAAUGCAUUUGGCUGGCUUUAGAACGUGCUUCAAAAGUGGUGGAAUCAAUCAAAGUGAUGUCAAUCUGCGGAUGGUUUCUAAGUGGCACCAUCUAGUUCAACAUAAGAAAAGAACUUGGAAGAAUAGGUAGAAAGUUUGCUUAUUGAAUAUGCAGCGGUGAAGAGCCUGGAAAUGAAAUAAAUGGUAAGUAAUAGGACCAAGGUUUUAAAAACUCUAUUAUUAGGAAUUUCUACAGUAUUUAGGUCUUGACAAUAAACGCGGUUUAUUUCAUGAUGAUUUUUCAGAACACUAUUAUCCAUGCAUCCAAAUCACUAACACACUCUCCUCUCUCUCUUGGCUUCCUAAAUUUCUAUGAAUAUUCUGUUCCCCUGGCACUGAACCAGCACCAUAGGAAUGGAACAAAGACGGAGCCCUCCUUCUCAAAGACCAAGCUGUAAAAUUAGCAAAGGAAUAAAAAACAGCUGGCGAAAUAUGAUAGC